rnacentral:telomerase_RNA from 1 species
UCUUCCAUAUGGGGGAAACACAUACGGGGGCCACUGACAUGGUGCGUGGGGUCUCUCUGCGUUUCCAGAGUCAGUGGCGUUGGUCCAAACCCAACAUACACCAAACCGCCUCUCACGGGGCAAGUCUUGUGUUUACUUCUCCCGUUGGUUCACUCCAAAAAUUCAACGGGUUACCCGGCUCCCCCUCUAUCUUUUG